GUGGGUGACACUACUUUACUUUAUGACAGUGACAGUCCACAGGUAGGACAAUGACAGCCAUAGCAAAAGCAGAGAGAAGCUGAAGCCUGUGCAGAGCUCAGUGCUGGAAGGAACGGAGACAAUGAGGUCACUUCAGGAGUGGCCUGGCAGCUCCUCAAGAGAGGAGAGCUUGGACAGACUGAAACUGGAUUCUCGAGUUCUCUGCAGGAUUAACUCACGUGCCCAGCGAGGGCACUGGGAAACACAGUGGCUUCCUGCUCACCCGUCCUGUCCCCAAGCAGCCUCUCUAUAUGGCUAGGCUAGGACAAAAAAUGUGCCAGUUGAAAACAGCAUGGUGGUCUCAAGGUAGUCUAGCUGUUGUGUCGUCUCAGGGUUCUCUGAAGAAGGCACAUCCAAAGA
rnacentral:lncRNA from 1 species